rnacentral:lncRNA from 1 species
GGUGGCUCGGGACUAUUCGACUGCGCAUAAUUUCACGCAUGAAUUACAAAAGUAUUUGUCAUAAGUUCGACAUAAUUUUUUUUAAUAUUUUGAUUGAUUAGAAAUGUUAAAUCAUUGUAGUUAUGUGAAUAAUAGAAUAUUUUCGUUAUAAUCCGUAUUUUUUAAAGGGUCAAAAUGACAUUUCACCCAUUUUCCCCAUUUUCCCGCCAAAAUUUGGGUUUUAACGCAAAAUAUAUUUUUUUCCUUAUCGGUGACCUAUUUUUUUUAUUUGCUCAUUCUUUGAAGCUAUAUUUCAGCUUUUUAUAUUCCAGUUUUGGACCAAGUGUCAUAGACAGUUUUUUUGAUAAUCCGAUAAAAUUAUGUCAACACCUCUAUUUU